rnacentral:rRNA from 1 species
UGCCAGCCGCCGCGGUAAUACGGAGGGGGCUAGCGUUAAUCGGAAUUACUGGGCGUAAAGCGCAUGUAGGUGGAUACUUAAGUCGAAUGUGAAAGCCCUGGGCUUAACCUGGGAACUGCAUUCGAUAAUGGGCAUCUAGAGUAUAGUAGAGGGAAGUGGAAUUUCAGGUGUAGCGGUGAAAUGCGUAGAUAUCUGAAGGAACACCAGUGGCGAAGGCGGCUUCCUGGACUAAUACUGACACUGAGAUGCGAAAGCGUGGGGAGCAAACAGGAUUAGAUA